rfam:Candida arabinofermentans NRRL YB-2248 unplaced genomic scaffold CANARscaffold_7, whole genome shotgun sequence.
GGUGCAUUAGCUCAGAGGUCAAGAGCAUCGUGCUUAUAGUCGUACAGUGACGUCUAUACUUAUGUCACACACAUUGUUUCUCACGAAGCAACGCGAUGGUCACGGGUUCAAACCCCGUAUGCACCA